rnacentral:rRNA from 1 species
UACAGAGGGUGCGAGCGUUGUCCGGAAUCACUGGGCGUAAAGGGCGCGUAGGUGGCGGGCCAAGUCGGUGGUGAAAGCUCGAUGCUUAACAUCGAGUCGGCCAUCGAUACUGGUUUGCUCGAGCACUGUAGGGGCAGAUGGAAUUCCGGGUGUAGCGGUGGAAUGCGUAGAGAUCCGGAAGAACACCGGUGGCGAAGGCGGUCUGCUGGGCAGUUGCUGACACUGAGGCGCGACAGCGUGGGGAGCAAACAGG